rnacentral:rRNA from 1 species
AUUGAACGCUGGCGGCGUGCCUAACACAUGCAAGUCGAGCGGUAACAGGUGUAGCAAUACAUGCUGACGAGCGGCGAACGGGUGAGUAAUGCUUCGGAAUCUGCCCAUGUAGUGGGGAAUAACCAGCCGAAAGGUUGGCUAAUACCGCAUACGACCUACGGGUGAAAGCAGGGGAUCGCAAGACCUUGCGCUAUUGGAUGAGCCGAAGUCGGAUUAGCAGUUGGUAGGGUAACGGCCUACCAAGGCGACAAUCCGUAGCUGGUCUGAGAGGACGACCAGCCACACUGGGACUGAGACACGGGCCCAGACUCCUACGGGAGGCAGCAGUGGGGAAUAUUGGACAAUGGGGGCAACCCUGAUCCAGCGACGCCGCGUGUGUGAAGAAGGCCUGCGGGUUGUAAAGCACUUUUAGUGGGGAUGAAAAGCUC